GACGAACGCUGGCGGCGUGCCUAAUACAUGCAAGUCGAACGCACUCUCGUUUAGAUUGAAGGAGUUUGCUCCUGAUUGAUAAACAUUUGAGUGAGUGGCGGACGGGUGAGUAACACGUGGGUAACCUGCCCUAAAGUGGGGGAUAACAUUUGGAAACAGAUGCUAAUACCGCAUAAACCUAACACCGCAUGGUGUAGGGUUGAAAGAUGGUUUCGGCUAUCACUUUAGGAUGGACCCGCGGUGCAUUAGUUAGUUGGUGAGGUAAAGGCUCACCAAGACCGUGAUGCAUAGCCGACCUGAGAGGGUAAUCGGCCACACUGGGACUGAGACACGGCCCAGACUCCUACGGGAGGCAGCAGUA
rnacentral:rRNA from 1 species